ACCUACGGGGGGCAGCAGUAGGGAAUUUUCGUCAAUGGGCGCAAGCCUGAACGAGCAAUGCCGCGUGAACGAGGAAGGUCUUCGGAUCGUAAAGUUCUGUUGAAGGGGAAAAAGAGCGGAGAGAGGAAAUGGUCUCCGAUUGAUAUUACCCUUCGAGGAAGUCACGGCUAACUACGGGCCAGCAGCCGCGGUAAUACGUAGGUGGCGAGCGUUAUCCGGAAUGAUUGGGCGUAAAGGGUGCGUAGGCGGCCUGCUAAGUCUGGAGUGAAAGGUACCGGCUCAACCGGUACAGGCUCUGGAAACUG
rnacentral:rRNA from 1 species